AACAAGGUUUCCGUAGGUGAACCUGCGGAAGGAUCAUUAACGAGUUCAACGUCUGGGGAAAAAGGUUGUUGCUGGCUUUUCUAGCAUGGUGCACGCCUUGAUCCCGGGACGUCUUUGUCCUCUUCACACCUGUGCACGAUCUGUAGUAUUGGGAGGUUGUUCAAUCUUGAAUGCCUCUCCUCGCUACGCAUUUUUUCUACAUCACCUUAAUAAAAGUCUUUGGAACGUUUGCCCCUGUGCUGUUUAACGACGGUACAAAUGAAAUACAACUUUCAGCAACGGAUCUCUUGGCUCUCGCAUCGAUGAAGAACGCAGCGAAAUGCGAUAAGUAAUGUGAAUUGCAGAAUUCAGUGAAUCAUCGAAUCUUUGAACGCACCUUGCGCUCCUUGGUAUUCCGAGGAGCAUGCCUGUUUGAGUGUCAUGAAAUUCUCAACUGCUUUGGCUUCUUUGUUCAAAGUGAAGUUGGAUUUGGAGUGAGAUUUGUCGGCGUGGGUUCGGCUGCUCCAAAAGACAUUAUAAGCCCGUUUCUAAUCUUGGCGAGUUGACGUGAUAACUUUCUACGUCGCAGUGAAAGCCUCGAGCUUGAAGGCGCACUCUUACGUGCGGCUUCUAUUGGGAAACCGGCUUUUCUGAUGGGGUUUUGUCAUUCGACCUCAAAUCAGGCAGGACUACCCGCUGAAC
rnacentral:rRNA from 1 species